rnacentral:lncRNA from 1 species
GUGUUGUCCAGAUUGCUGACAGCAUUUUGAGCUCAGGUCCUAUGCGUUUGGUACUGCUGUUGCUUACGCUGCUUUAAUAAACUCUAUCGCAUCCAAGUUCGCUCUUUUGGGGUGGAAGGUUAGCAAAGGAGAAAUUCGCUGCUUUAGCAAACUCUAUCGCAUCCAAGUUCACUCUUUUGGGUGGAGGGUUAAGCAAAGGUGAAAUUCUAGCUUACCAUGGUGAGCAUGUUUGUAAGUUAUUCCUGAGAAUGUUUUGGUAGAUGGUGGUGAUAUCUUUGUUCAAGCAUGUUGUAAAUUUGACUGCUUCUUCCUUAUGUUUAGAUUUCUGGUGAUUCAUGGUGGUAGUACAUCCCAAAUUUGUAAACAUUUUAUGAACUUCAGAAAGGAAUAAUUGUCGGAAAGCAGUAAUUUGUACAGGUAUGAGAGUAGGCAGGGAGAGCUUGGUUAGCUGUGUAUUUACAAGUGAAAUUUGUGUGGAUUACAAUCUCUCUAUUGCUAUAGUGCGUAGAGAGUCUAUGUUAAGAGGCGCGGAAAAUAGUUUUUUCCUCUACAUUGAUUUCAAUUCCCUAGUUUUAUCCUGAG